UACAGAGGGGGCAAGCGUUAUUCGGAAUUAUUGGGCGUAAAGGGCGCGUAGGCGGCUUUGCAAGUGACGGGUGAAAGCCCUCGGCUUAACCGAGGAACUGCCUGUCAGACUGUAAGGCUUGAGACCGGGAGAGGUGAGUGGAAUUCCCAGUGUAGCGGUGAAAUGCGUAGAUAUUGGGAGGAACACCGGUGGCGAAGGCGGCCCCCUGGACCGGUACUGACGCUGAGGCACGAAAGCGUGGGGAGCAAACAGG
rnacentral:rRNA from 1 species